CGAGUUUGAUCCUGGCUCAGAUCGAACGCUGGCGGCGUGGCUAAAGCAUGCAAGUCGCACGCGAAAGUUCCCUUCGGGGAGCGAGUAGAAUGGCGAAAGGGCGAGGAAUCCAUGGGUAACGUACCUCGAGCAUGGGGAUAGCUGCGGGAAACUGCAGGUAAUACCUAAUGACACCACGGUUUCAUAUGGCACAGUGGUCAAAGGGCGGGGAUCCCUUCGGGGACCUGCUGGCUUGAGAGCGGCCCAUGUCCUAUCAGCUUGUUGGUAGGGUAACGGCCUACCAAGGCAACGACGGGUACCGGGACUGAGAGGUUGGCCCGGCGCAUUGGGACUGAGACACUGCCCAGACUCCUACGGGAGGCUGCAGCAACGAAUAUUCCGCAAUGGACGAAAGUCUGACGGAGCGACGCCGCGUGCGGGAAUAAGCCCCUCGGGGUGUAAACCGCUGUCAGGGAUCACCAAGCGAUGAGGGUCAAUACCCCUCGGAGUUGAGGAGUCCCAGAGGAAGCCACGGCUAACUUCGUGCCAGCAGCCGCGGUAAGACGAAGGUGGCAAGCGUUGUUCGGAAUCACUGGGCUUAAAGAGCACGUAGGCGGCUUAUCAAGCGUCUUGUGAAAUCCCUCGGCUCAACCGAGGAACUGCAUGGCGAACUGAUAGGCUUGAGGCAGGUAGGGACGCACGGAACUCUUGGUGGAGCGGUGGAAUGCGUAGAUAUCAAGAGGAACGCCGGUGGCGAAGGCGGUGCGCUGGGCCCGUCCUGACGCUGAGGUGCGAAAGCCAGGGGAGCGAACGGGAUUAGAUACCCCGGUAGUCCUGGCCCUAAACGAUGUCCACUAGGUCGAAGGUUCUCUGACGGAGUUUCGGCCGAAACGAAAGCGUUAAGUGGACCGCCUGGGGAGUACGGUCGCAAGGCUAAAACUCAAAGGAAUAGACGGGGGCUCACACAAGCGGUGGAGCAUGUUGCUUAAUUCGAUACAACGCGAAGAACCUUAUCCUGGGCUUGACAUGUACGAAUGCCUACCUGGAAACAGGGUCGGCUGCCCUUCGGGGUGAAACGUACACAGGUGCUGCAUGGCUGUCGUCAGCUCGUGUCGUGAGAUGUUGGGUUAAGUCCCGUAACGAGCGAAACCCUUGUCGCUAGUUGCCAGCGGGUUAUGCCGGGGACUCUAGCGAGACUGCCGGUGUUAAACCGGAGGAAGGUGGGGAUGACGUCAAGUCCUCAUGGCCUUUAUGCCCAGGGCUGCAAACGUGCUACAAUGACCGGUACAAACCGAUGCAAGACCGCGAGGUGGAGCAAAUCGGAAAAAGCCGGCCCCAGUUCGGAUUGGAGUCUGCAACUCGACUCCAUGAAGUCGGAAUCGCUAGUAAUCGCGUAUCAGCAUGACGCGGUGAAUGUGUUCCUGAGCCUUGUACACACCGCCCGUCAAGUCAUGGAAGCUGGGAGCACCCGAAGUCGUGCCAUUUCAGGCAUGCCGAAGGUGAGCUUGGUGACUGGGACUAAGUCGGAACAAGGUA
rnacentral:rRNA from 1 species